rnacentral:rRNA from 1 species
GAUGAACGCUGGCGGCGUGCCUAAUACAUGCAAGUCGAGCGAACAGACGAGGAUCUUGCUCCUCUGACGUUAGCGGCGGACGUGUGAGUAACACGUGUAUAACCUACCUGUAAUUCUGGUAUAUCUUCGGGAAACCGGAUCUUAUCCCGUAGAAGAUAUUGAACCAUGUGGUUCAAUGGUGAAAUUCGGUGGCGCGGUCACUAAUCGAUGGUUCCGCGCCGCAUUAUCUAGUAGGGAAGGUAACGGGUUACGAAGGCAACGAUGCGUAGCCGACCGCAGAGGGUGAUAGGCCACCCGAGAAGUUGACCAGGGUCCAUGGUCCUAAGGGACGCCGCAGUAGGGAAUCGUACGCAACGGGCGAAAGUAUGACGCAGUAAGGCCGCGUGAGUGAUGACGGUCUUCGGAUCGUAAAAAUGUGUUACUAGGGAAAAACAAAUGUGUAAGUAACUAAGCAGGGAUUGACGGUAACUGAUAAGAAAGCACCGGCUAACUACGUG